AUGCAGAGUCCGUUAUGCACAAGGAUGAAAGGGGGUUCAAGGAGGAAGGUUACCGUGAUCAAGGUAGAGGUUUCAGAGAGAAGAAUGAAAUUUUCCAAUGGUUUUUUCAGAAUGAAUCCUCUCGAGUUUGAUAUACAAAUAGGUUUCAGAUUGAAGCAUAAAGGCAACGAUGUUGGUUUCAGAAUAGGUGUGCCAAAGUGCUUGCCUACAUCUUAUUUGGAUAAUAGCUUCCCUUAUGGCAUGCUUUUUGGUAAGAGUGAAUUCUUGGCAUGGAAAAAGCUCAUACUCAGGUUGGUAGGCCGUAAGAACGGAAGCAGAAGCGUUCAGGGUGCUAGAAUGAAUGCACUCUGGCAUUUUAAAUAUCGCUCAUAA